GUUAAGAAUCUUGCACAAUGGGCGAAAGCCUGAUGCAGCGACACCGCGUGAGCGAUGAAGGCCUUCGGGUUGUAAAGCUCUUUUCCGGGGGAAGAAACAGGCGGCUAAUAACCGCUUACUGACGGUACCCCAUGAAUCAGCCUCGGCUAAUUACGUGCCAGCAGCCGCGGUAAUACGUAAGAGGCGAGCGUUGUCCGGAAUCACUGGGCGUAAAGCGCGUGUAGGUGGCUUGAUAAGUCGGAUGUGAAAUCCUCGGGCUCAACCCGGGAACUGCGUCCGAAACUGUCUCGCUCGAGAACAGGAGAGGAGAGUGGAAUUCCGGGUGUAGCGGUGAAAUGCGUAGAUAUCCGGAGGAACACCAGUGGCGAAGGCGGCUCUCUGGCCUGUUUCUGACACUGAGACGCGAAAGCGUGGGGAGCGAACGGGAUUAGAUACCCGGGUAGUCC
rnacentral:rRNA from 1 species